GGCCCGGUGGUGGAUGGCCCACCCCUGCGUUUAUUUGUUAUCGUGAAAAUUCGAAGUACAGCAGGAGAACCCCGUUCGAGCCGGGGCCGGGCCG